rnacentral:rRNA from 1 species
GCAAGUCGAACGAGAAAGGGAUUGCUUGCAAUCCCGAGUAGAGUGGCGCACGGGUGAGUAACACGUGGAUAAUCUACCUUUGAAUCUGGAAUAACUAUUCGAAAGGGUAGCUAAUAUCGGAUGAUGUCAAAUUUUCCUCGGAGAAUUUGAUGAAAGACAGCCUCUGCUUGCAAGCUGUUGUUUGAAGAUGAGUCCGCGCACCAUUAGUUUGUUGGUGGGGUAACGGCCUACCAAGACCAUGAUGGUUAGCUGGUCUGAGAGGAUGAUC